GACGAACGCUGGCGGCGUGCCUAACACAUGCAAGUCAACGAGAAAGGGGUAGCAAUAUCCCGAGUAAAGUGGCGCACGGGUGAGUAACACGUAGGUAAUUUGCCAUCAGGACGGGGACAACCACGCGAAAGCGUAGCUAAUACCCGAUGAAGCAGCGGUGCCGCAUGGCAUUGUUGUUAAAUACCGCAAGGUGCCUGAUGAUAAACCUGCGUCCCAUUAGGUAGUUGGNGAGGUAACGGCUCACCAAGCCGACGAUGGGUAGCUGGUCUGAGAGAAUGAUCAGCCACACUGGAACUGAGACACGGUCCAGACUCCGUACGGGAGGCAGCAGGU
rnacentral:rRNA from 1 species